rnacentral:rRNA from 1 species
CAGUCGCCACGGUAAUACAGAGGGUGCGAGCGUUAAUCGGAUUUACUGGGCGUAAAGCGUGCGUAGGCGGCUUUUUAAGUCGGAUGUGAAAUCCCUGAGCUUAACUUAGGAAUUGCAUUCGAUACUGGGAAGCUAGAGUAUGGGAGAGGAUGGUAGAAUUCCAGGUGUAGCGGUGAAAUGCGUAGAGAUCUGGAGGAAUACCGAUGGCGAAGGCAGCCAUCUGGCCUAAUACUGACGCUGAGGUACGAAAGCAUGGGGAGCAAACAGGAUUAGAUACCCCUGUAGUCCCUGUCUCUUAUAC